GCUGUACCACCUCCACCUCCUUUGCCAGAUGCUGGUUCAAACUCUGGGGAUGGCACGGUUGUGCCUUUAUCUUUGCCUCUACCACCCCCACCUCCUGUGCCGUCCACGCCUGCCACAGCAAACUUGGGUAUUCCUUUGCCUCCACCACCUCCUGGUCCCCCACCUAAAGAGCAAGUUGCAGUUCGCCCUCCACUACCUCCACCUCCUCCCCUUCCACAGUCUGCACAGCCACUUCCACCUGGCACUAGUGGAAACAUGCCAGAUGACUCGACCUCCAAGGAGCUGGCUCAGGU
rnacentral:lncRNA from 1 species